AGGUCUUCGGAUCGUAAAGCUCUGUUGUUAGGGAAGAACAAGUAUCGUUCGAAUAGGGCGGUACCUUGACGGUACCUAACCAGAAAGCCACGGCUAACUACGUGCCAGCAGCCGCGGUAAUACGUAGGUGGCAAGCGUUAUCCGGAAUUAUUGGGCGUAAAGCGCGCGCAGGCGGUCCUUUAAGUCUGAUGUGAAAGCCCACGGCUCAACCGUGGAGGGUCAUUGGAAACUGGGGGACUUGAGUGCAGAAGAGGAGAGUGGAAUUCCACGUGUAGCGGUGAAAUGCGUAGAGAUGUGGAGGAACACCAGUGGCGAAGGCGACUCUCUGGUCUGUAACUGACGCUGAGGCGCGAAAGCGUGGGGAGCGAACAGGAUUAGAUACCCUGGUAGUCCACGCCGUAAACGAUGAGUGCUAAGUGUUAGAGGGUUUCCGCCCUUUAGUGCUGCAGCUAACGCAUUAAGCACUCCGCCUGGGGAGUACGGCCGCAAGGCUGAAACUCAAAGGAAUUGACGGGGGCCCGCACAAGCGGUGGAGCAUGUGGUUUAAUUCGAAGCAACGCGAAGAACCUUACCAGGUCUUGACAUCCUCUGCCAACCCUAGAGAUAGGGCGUUCCCCUUCGGGGGACAGAGUGACAGGUGGUGCAUGGUUGUCGUCAGCUCGUGUCGUGAGAUGUUGGGUUAAGUCCCGCAACGAGCGCAACCCUU
rnacentral:rRNA from 1 species